UACGAAGGGGGCUAGCGUUGCUCGGAAUCACUGGGCGUAAAGCGCACGUAGGCGGAUCUUUAAGUCAGGGGUGAAAUCCUGGAGCUCAACUCCAGAACUGCCUUUGAUACUGGGGAUCUCGAGUCCGGAAGAGGUGGGUGGAACUCCGAGUGUAGAGGUGAAAUUCGUAGAUAUUCGGAGGAACACCAGUGGCGAAGGCGGCUCACUGGUCCGGUACUGACGCUGAGGUGCGAAAGCGUGGGGAGCAAACAGG
rnacentral:rRNA from 1 species